rnacentral:lncRNA from 1 species
UUGAAAUCGUUUCCAGAAAUUCCUCAUAACUUUUUAUAUACGAACAUAUGUGAUAUAAACCUCUGAUUAUAAUUGAAUUAUCGGCAGUUUUGGGUGCUUAUAGGCUACAAUGUUGUGACAUUUUUUCUAUUCAACAAGAUAUGGUCGUGCUGGAAUCAACAUGAUAAGCGUCACAUACAAAUUAUAAAAGUAAAUCAUACGAUUAAAAACCCAAAUUUCAACAUGAUAAACAAAGCAACAAAAUGAAAAAUAUUGUAAUCACAAAAUUACAAACGUGAAAUGUAAAUGUUUGAUGACAAAGAGAUGAUGUUCUUAUUGAAAUCCUUUCCAGAAAUUCGUCAUAACUUUUUAUAUAUAAACAUAUGUGAUAUAAACCUCCAAUUACAACCGAAUUAUUGGCAGUUUUGGGUGCUUAUAGGCUACAAUGCUGUGUCAUUUUUCCUAUUCUAUAAGAUAUGGUCGUGCUGCAAAAACAACACAUUAUUAAUAUGCGUACUUAAUUUAAUUACGUGACAAAUAUCAAAUAAUUUCUAAUAGUAGCAUUUUUGGAUUCAGUAUCGGAAAGUUAGCCAAAAUUGAAGUAUGGAAUACGGUGUGGAUCUAGUGCACGUGAGUAGAUGGAUGGGGGAAAAAAGAAGUCAAAGGGGAGCUAUUCGGGAAGUUUGACGGACUGUCUCCUUCGUCUCACCUGCCCAAUAUAUUCCUUCCACAACAUGAAGAUAUUCAAUUAUGAUUGUUAAUCUAUAUCAUAAUAAAUAAUUCCAAUGUAAUAUUUUUACAUUGAAAGACCACUUUAUAUUGUAAAUUGUCUAAGAGAAAUACAAAUACUUGUUUCUAAUUAAAUUCUCUAAGAGAAAUAGAAAUAUGGGACUGUCUCCUUCGUCUCACCUGCCCAAUAUAUUCCUUCCACAACAUGAAGAUAUUCAAUUAUGAUUGUUAAUCUAUAUCAUAAUAAAUAAUUCCAAUGUAAUAUUUUUACAUUGAAAGACCAC